rnacentral:misc_RNA from 1 species
GAUGAAGAACGCAGCGAAAUGCGAUAAGUAAUGUGAAUUGCAGAAUUCAGUGAAUCAUCGAAUCUUUGAACGCACAUUGCGCCCGCAAGUAUUCUGGCGGGCAUGCCUGUUCGAGCGUCAUUUCAACCAUCAAGCCCCCGGCUUGUGUUGGGGACCUGCGGCUGCCGCAGGCCCUGAAAAGCAGUGGCGGGCUCGCUGUCACACCGAGCGUAGUAGCAUACAUCUCGCUCUGGGCGUGCUGCGGGUUCCGGCCGUUAAACCACCUUCAUAACCCAAGGUUGACCUCGGAUCAGGUAGGAAGACCCGCUGAACUUAAGCAUAUCAAUAAGCGGAGGA